GAGGAAAUUAUAGUUUAGAUGAUUAAUUAUGUAUACAUUAUUGAUUAGAACCAUUUAUUCUAAUACUAUUAUGUUAUGGUAUGAAAAGUAAAAGUUAUUGGUUAAGCUGUUACUGAAAAUGUAAGCAGAACGAAUUAAUUGUCUGGGCCUCUUGGGAAGUUAACGGAGGAGCGAGGCUAUGGCUUGUCAGACAGAUAAGAAAUGUCUGGGAGACGUUCCAGGCCUAAUGAACAAUGGGCUCUUGUGAGAAUCGGAGAGAGGGGGGAUAAACUGAUGAUGUCAUGUUCAGUUUAUAACCUGUGGAAAAAUGUGUAUGCUUCAGUACUCUCUGGAAUUAAACGCUCUUACCUGGCUUUUAAGACUGGUCUCGAUCUACUUCAUGCAUAAUUAAUGAACUUACACAUCAUUAAUGAAUUAGACACGAGUGCGAAAUUGGUUUUGGCAAUUAAAACAGAAAAGGAAUUUAGAAUUCAUCUAUCAAUUUGGUCCUUCGAGCCAGAUCUAAAUAUCUCUACCUGUUAUCUGAAGGUAAUACGCUGAAAAUCGUGCACGGACGAGUUUUUGACUCGUUUUACUAAAGACCUGACCUCUGAAUUGAGGUUAAAAUUGAAACAGGCCUGCGUAUUAUCACAGAGGACAGAGAGGGUGACUAGAUUCAAACAAACAAUGCUUAUCCCAGUCGACAGCAGGUAAAGUAGCUUUUAUUCUCGAAUUUGGGAGGGAUUAUUUAGGAUAUUUAUUGAUUAAAAUGUUAUGAAGGAGUUGAAUUUGAUCAAUAAUAGGUGCUUGAAUAUUCCGAACAAAUAAAAUGAUAUCGAUAAAAUGGAAGCAGGUCCGAAAUUGACCUGAGGUAAGGUGCGCUACCAACAAAUAAACUAGAGCUUAAUAAAGCCUGGUCUUGCAAACCAGAAGGAUUAUUAAGGAGUGAUAUAGUACGCAUUGGAGAAUUAGGACGCUUGUUCUGUACAAAUAGGGUGGCCAAUAAUUCAAUAAACAUACCUAAAUAAAGUUUUUACCUAAUAGUCUAUCUGUAUAUGGGAAACGGACUGUGGAAAGUAGCAGAUAGAUAUGUUAAAACAGGUGAGGAUAAAUUAGGCUUGGUGAGAAGGCAGGGUAAUUCUAGGCAAACAGAAUAAAUGAACCUGUACAAUGCUGAAAGAAAUUAAUAUCAAAAGAUAAGUGAUUAGUCUAGAGUAGUGAGAUUUGAGACAUUAACGUUGAAAGUCCGAAAAAGAAUAUCCUAUGGGUGAAAUGUGAUGUCCGAUCAAAAGUCUUCUAUAGACGUGGUUCACAGGAGAGGUCAACUUAGUCUAGAGUAGUGAGAUUCGAGAUAUUAACGUUGAAAGUCCCAAAAGGAAUAUCCUAUGGGUGAAAUGUGAUGUCCGAUCAAAAGUCUUCUAUGGACGCGGUUCACAGGAUGGAAAAUACAUACUGAUUAUUUUUAAAGGGACACACACAUAGGCAGACAGAAUAGUAACUAGAAGUAACUAAGUAACGGUAAAUUACAAAUUUAUAGAACUGCACGCACAUAGAAUUUAAAAUUAUAUAGAAGGGCAUAGAUAAGUGUUUAAAGACCAUAGCUACUAGUAACGGUAAGGAUUAAGAAUGGGGAGAAAUGCCUCGAAAGAAGCCCCAGAACUGACGGGAGCUCGAGCGAUGUAUGUAUGGGGGGUCUUUCCCGGUUUUUAGUAGUCAGUGUUCUUGAUAGUGAAAAGUGAUCGUGUAGGUGAGUUAAAUGUCAGAUUGAACAAAGUAUCCAGCGGAGAGACAGAACAAGUGACCCCAUAGAUAUAUAGAUCUUGGUAAUAGACACUGCAGGUUGGUGGUCUUUAUUUAGAUUAUGGGGAACAAUUGAGUUGCUUUUCCGUUGGUCAUUUUCAAUCAACUCUACAGAUUAAGCUAUAUUUGGGGCGAUAUUUUAGUUCAAAGUCCUAUAGGAACAGUGAUUACUGUAUAUUCCUACAGUGAUCGCUGUAUACGGGUGAAAACUAGUAUCAGAUUGAACGACGAUUGGACGGAGACUCUUGAGACUCGGUCUAUUUGUCUUCGGUCAACCCUACAAGUAGGCUGAUUUGGAGCGACAAUCUUAGCAAAAGUCCUAAAGGAACAGUAAUGUAUGGUAUACGGGUGAGACUUAAUGUCAGACUUUAGUAGAUGAGGAUUCCAAUAAAAGAGAUAUUAACCAUAAGGUGUUAAAUAUUGGAAUUACUAGGCGUAAGUAGAUAAGGAUUCCAAUAAAGAGAAAUUAACAUAAAGGGUUGAAGAUUGGAAUUAUUAGGAGGGGCAGGAAUUUAUUAUAAUGGGUAGUAAACCCUUCUAAACUGCUUUCUGAAGAGACGGAAGAUUACCGUUAUAUGAAACAAAAAGAUCGAAGGAACGUAGAUUUCUGUCCUAAAUGGAAAAAAAAGGAAUGGUUUUGACGGACGCCUAGAUGUCGAAAAGUUAGAAUCCCUUCUAAAACAGAUACAAAGGGAGCGAGAUGAAUGAGAAUCCUAAACUGAGGGAAAACGUUGGGCGUCUAACUUGGGGCUAUUUUCUGUUGUCUAGAUGUCAGAGUAACAAAUAAAGAUAACUGUGAAAAUGGGUAUAUUUGCGGAGAGUCUCAGUCAAAUUCAUAGCGGCUAGUAUAGUGGCGAGCGCAACAGUCUCACCAACGGUAAUCCACGGUUCGGUUCCCGGCCGAGGUAUUUAACUAAAAUUGAUUUUAGAUCGUAAUUGACCUAUUUGAAUGUUUUGCCUGAAAAAUACGGUCGCCAGUGUUUGCAAAAGAUAUAACUGAACGGAUAUUAUGUGUUCUAGAUAGAAUUGAUAAAAGAAGUAAUUAAAAAUAAUGGCGAGACAAUUUCGAUGUAAAACGCUAUUUCGCCCAAAAUGAUCUGGUGGAAUAAUGUAGAAAAUAAAAUAAUCAUAGAAGAGAGAGAGUUACCUAAAGUUAAAUGGAGGGGAUAACGGAGAGAUACAAUACAAUUCCAGCCUGCCUGGACGUUAUGGCUAUUUAUGAAUCAAUUGACAUGAGAAGUUUAACACAAAAACAUGGUACGUUUAAUGUUAGGGUAUAGUAAAUUGAGAAGUUCGGUUGGGUUUACUCUGAUGAUUAGAAUUUAAAACUGAACUCAAUCUGAAUAGGGAAUAUAUAUUUUACAAAGGCGGGCAGAUUUGUGUCUAUAGCCAAGCAACGGAAUUGCUAGACACUCAAAUGGGGCUAUAUAGUGCAACGCUUUGGACUAUAAAUUAGGUAAAAAUAGUUAAAUCGUAAAAAGUUGUGAUUGUUUUUCCGAAGUAUUGAUUUUUGGUUAAGGUAACGCCAGUGAAAUUGAACAAAAAGUAUCGUAUUCUAAAAAUGAUCUGAAUUCCGUCCUCAUUGCGGGGAACAAAUAAAAUGUCUUAUCUUAAAGGGACAGUGCACGCCAAUCACAGUGGUUUGAGUGUAUGACAGUGGGAAAAAUAUUGUGGGACGACAAUUCGAAGAUAGAAAAAUAAGUUACAUAAUACAUCAAGAGAUUUAAAACGAACGAUGUGAAGGGAUCAUCAGAAUUAUUGGGUGUCGUUGUAGGAGUGAAAGUUUGGGUUAAGGGGAUUUCCCUGUUCCCAGAGACAAGGCAUUUUUGAGGCGUGCACUCACUAAGGCUGGUCUGAGUUUGUAAUUAGACAAGUGAAUAACGUAUUGGGAAUAGAGUUGUAAUUAAAAUACUAAGUCAAAGACGAGACAGGUAUUUAGAGCAAAAUGGAUUCUAAAUGAAAAACAAAGAGACAAUUAUGAUUUAUGCCCAUCGAAACGCUUUUAUAAAAUUGGCGAAUUUAGAGAUGUUGGUUGGGGUGGUAAAUUAUAAUUCAGGAUUUGAACAGAUGUGAUAAAUUAGGUUUGGUUAAUCGAACAAGAAUUAUUUACAAUCCAUUUGAAGCCGCUACGAAUUGGCAGGUUGAGCGCUUGAUGACGACGUCACUAGCGAGACACUUUUGUCACCAGGGACUGGGGAUAACGGAGCAAACUGUAUGGCUGUUAGUGUGUGUAUCGGGGUUUCGAGUAACCUUUCAGAAGUUGAGAUAAAAGUGUUUUGUUUAUUUGUUUAUUGGUUAUAGUCAAUUUUAGGGUUUGAUUUAACUUGUUUGAACAGUGUGUUCUGGCGGGUUUUAGAUAGAACUCUUUGUUCCGGAACGGAUGAGAGUUACCCAAAAUAAGUAAAUUAAAGGAGCCAUGAGAGAAUGCGAAUGCAUAUUUAUUAAAUAUCGGGGAUUAAAUUACGGAUUCCUUACACUGCGAAAUGUACGACAUUUGCGGCAGAGAGAAAAAGUAAUGCAUUGAAUAAUAAUGUUAUCGGGUUAAUUGUAUCUAAAGGUAGCAUGGUCAUUUAAGUAAACAUAUCCGUAGACGAUGUUUAAAACUUAUGAUUAUUGAUUUGAGUCAAAGGGGAAUUAUCAUUAGGUUUUAGAGGCACGCUCACACAGGUGACUAUUUCUAUUGUAAGGAUAAAGGGAUCUUUAUGUCUAAUAUGGUAUGACCUUUUGACCUUAUCAUGACUGGCUUCUGAGGUCUGAUCAGCCUCAGGGGAGAGUCAUUUGUAUAAUGAAUGGGGUCAUAUUGAGUUACUAGUUUUAAGGUAAAUUCAUUAGAAAUGAAGCAGUUUUGGUUGAGAGUUUAGAAUAACUGUUUGAACCGCAAAUGAGAAAGUGGUUCAGGAUUCCGUCUUAUAACAAUUAGCUGUGAAGUUUUUUUGAAUGGGCUAUUAGGGAGUUGGUAUUGUAACAGAGAAAAAGUCAUAUUCAUCAUUGAGAAUAAAUAGGGGAAGAUAACAUAUUUUGAGCCAACAGGGCAGGGAAGAAAUUGAGGUAUUUUUGUUUGGUUUUAACACCCGUGUACAGGAGUGCCAAAAGACGGGGGACAUUACCUGUGUAAUGGGGGAGGGUGUCCGUAUGGGGAUUACAUGAUAACCAACUUGGGACAGUUCUGGGACUGGAGAAGAGGAUAUCCUUAUAGCAUAGGGAAUCCCACAAAGGUGGAUAGGUUUUCCAUGAUAUGGGGGAAACCUGGGAGCACUGUUGAACUUUGUAAAGGUGAUGAAAUCCUACUAACCAUCAAAACUAUUAAGCUCUCUGAUGCAGGCACUUACACCCCCGGACUACAAAGGACCGGGUCAGACACGGUGGGUGUGUUUUCUAUUAAGGUACUGCCAAAACCAGAGGUCCCAGACGAACCAGGGCCAGACACACUCCUCUACCACCCCUGGACCGAACCUGCCACCACUGUGUUAAGAAUCCCAUUCAGGUAAUUAAUGUUAGACUAUUCAGCUAUUGAUCAAUUAGGCACGGAGACUGGUUUUGAUGGUAGGGACAAUUUGUGGCUGUCUUAUACAGAAUUGACUUGCUUAGGAUAUACUUCUUGCUAGUCAGGGGGGCGCCUGCAAGAUGUUCGGUGAACAAUGUUGCACGUAUAUUCCUAAUAACACCAGUCCAGAUGGUAGUAUAUCUAAGGGCCUUAAUGGGCUUGAUGCACUAUCUGCUGAGAUGAGGACCAUGGCGGGGGUGGAGGAGUCUGACUGUUCAAAUGAGUUGGGAGCCUGGUUAGGUAAGUACACUGGUAUGGUGGUUACUGGAUUUCUGACCCUAAUUCUUGUAUUAUUUGUUAUUGAUGUGAUGUGCUGCUUGCAUCAUACCGUGUUUUAAGAAGUCUGUUACAGAUGUGGUGAAGGCUUCAGGCAUGAUGAUGCCUUUGCUUGAUGCUCCAGUUGGAGAGGCUGAGGUGAAGCAUGCUUUCAGGGGAGGAUAAGACUGACUGAGGAUGACCCAUGUAUGUUUGUUCUCCCUGUCGUGAAGGGUGGCAUGGUGCCCACCUGGUGCUGGAUAAGAAUAGCUGAGAGGACCAGAUGGGUUAUAAGAAUGCUUUGUUCUGCUUUACUCUGUUUUCCAGGACCAAAGUUUUAUUCCACACUUUGCAACACAUUAAAUCCAUGUUAUUGUCAGAUAGAAUACUGAGGGUCUCCAAGGAGAGGGCUUGUUAGUGUAGGAAGGAUUUUUAAUAUGGUUAGCAUUUAUUAGAUUAUAAGUUUUUAAAUAGUAUUAUAUUUAACAGGAAUAUAGGACAUCUAUGAGGAGUUAGGAUUAUUGUUAGGAUUAAGAUAGAUUGAUUAAGGACUUUAGAGAAAAGCCGCUCAUAGACAUGUUCUUUCUAAAAGAAAAUCCAUGAGUUUAGAAAGACAAACCGUGAGGCAUGUAGUUCAAAUUUGGGAAUGUGAAAAACAGCCACGGGCAGGCAGAAGAGCCCUCCCCCGCACUGCAGAGACCUUGAAGGUUGGAGAGCAGAGAAGUUUUAGAAGGGGGGCCAGGACGAGCAAAGAUAUAAUAGUGUGUAGAUAAGUUACUGAGUGGAGACAAAAGUGAGAAUUGGACAUGUGGAAAAUGAAAGGGACACUCCUAAAUGAUAAAUGUCAGACAUAAGGAUAAUUCACUAAAUCUUAUCUAAGUCAUUGUAUAAGAAUAAGGCAAGGUUGUUACCUGGGCAGAGCCAGGUAACAAAAGGGGGAUGGGUAAAUAGUGUUCUAGAAUAGGAUGUGACCUACGGGAUAAUUAACUAAUAAAAAUUUUUUUUUUAGCUAAUUGGUUUGACGAAUAAGAAACUGUUUUAUUAACCAAACCUGUAUGUCCAAGAGUUUAUGCACUACAGGUGAACUACAGGUGAAGACACUCAAUCCAGUCCCGUGGGCCACCCGGAUUCAUAUCGCACUGCGGGGGGGCCUUGUUUCCAGGACUCUGGAGAGAUCAAUGACACUACAGAUGGUGCGUUAUGGGCCGAUUCCAGGUUCUGACCUGUGGAGGACUGAAGGCAUGUCUACAGAGGAAGUGGACGAAUCUGGAUCUGUCAUUUGUGGGGAAUUUAUGUUUGAUGAGGCUAGUGUUGAGAUGAAGGGGAAUUAGAUUGUAAUUGGUUUCCAUGAUUAAACUGUUUUUUUAAUGAAGGUCUGACGAAAAUCCGGAAGGAAGAGUUAUGAUUCUGAUGUAGGUUUAAAAACAGUUGGAGUUAAGGUUAGAAUUGAUUAAUGAAAUGUGAAGAGUUGGAUAAACAUUUAUAAUUGAUUUGUUGAUUAUGUGUCUAUUCAUAUGAUAAUCUGAUAAACCUCUAUAAAAAGGUUAGUUAAGUUCGUUUAUACUUUCAUUUUUUAUGAUUAAAUAAAACUAGAUGUAGAAUUGAAUGUAUAAUAUUUGAUCAAAGGGAGGAUUGUUAGAGGAAAUUAUAGUUUAGAUGAUUAAUUAUGUAUACAUUAUUGAUUAGAACCAUUUAUUCUAAUACUAUUAUGUUAUGGUAUGAAAAGUAAAAGUUAUUGGUUAAGCUGUUACUGAAAAUGUAAGCAGAACGAAUUAAUUGUCUGGGCCUCUUGGGAAGUUAACGGAGGAGCGAGGCUAUGGCUUGUCAGACAGAUAAGAAAUGUCUGGGAGACGUUCCAGGCCUAAUGAACAAUGGGCUCUUGUGAGAAUCGGAGAGAGGGGGGAUAAACUGAUGAUGUCAUGUUCAGUUUAUAACCUGUGGAAAAAUGUGUAUGCUUCAGUACUCUCUGGAAUUAAACGCUCUUACCUGGCUUUUAA